UACGAAGGGGGCGAGCGUUGUUCGGAAUCACUGGGCGUAAAGGGCGCGUAGGCGGCCUGCUAAGUCGGACGUGAAAUCCCUCGGCUCAACCGGGGAACUGCGUCCGAUACUGGCGGGCUUGAAUCCGGGAGAGGAAUGCGGAAUUCCAGGUGUAGCGGUGAAAUGCGUAGAUAUCUGGAGGAACACCGGUGGCGAAGGCGGCAUUCUGGACCGGCAUUGACGCUGAUGCGCGAAAGCCAGGGGAGCAAACGGG
rnacentral:rRNA from 1 species